GAUGGGCACUGAGACAAGGGCCCAGGCCCUAUGGGGCGCAGCAGGCGCGAAACCUUUGCAAUAGGCGAAAGCUUGACAGGGUUACUUUGAGUGAUUUCCGUUAAGGAGAUCUUUUGGCACCUCUAAAAAUGGUGCAGAAUAAGGGGUGGGCAAGUCUGGUGUCAGCCGCCGCGGUAAUACCAGCACCCCGAGUGGUCGGGACGUUUAUUGGGCCUAAAGCAUCCGUAGCCGGUUUUACAAGUCUUCCGUUAAAUCCACCUGCUUAACAGAUGGGCUGCGGAAGAUACUAUAGACCUAGGAGGCGGGAGAGGCAAGCGGUACUCGAUGGGUAGGGGUAAAAUCCGUUGAUCCAUUGAAGACCACCAGUGGCGAAGGCGGCUUGCCAGAACGCGCUCGUCGGUGAGGGAUGAAAGCUGGGGGAGCAAACCGGAUUAGAUACCCGGGUAGUCCCAGCUGUAAACGAUGCAGACUCGGUGAUGAGUUGGCUUAUUGCUAACUCAGUGCCGCAGGGAAGCCGUUAAGUUUGCCGCCUGGGGAGUACGGUCGCAAGACUGAAACUUAAAGGAAUUGGCGGGGGAGCACCACAAGGGGUGAAGCCUGCGGUUC
rnacentral:rRNA from 1 species